UACGUAGGUGGCAAGCGUUGUCCGGAUUUACUGGGCGUAAAGCGUGCGCAGGCGGUUUCACAAGCUCGAUGUGAAAGCCCCGGGCUUAACCUGGGAAUGGCAUUGAGGACUGUGGAGCUCGAGUGCGGCAGAGGGAGGUGGAAUUCCACGUGUAGCAGUGAAAUGCGUAGAGAUGUGGAGGAACACCGAUGGCGAAGGCGGGUAGCUGGGCCGACACUGACGCUGAGGCGCGAAAGCGUGGGGAGCAAACAGG
rnacentral:rRNA from 1 species